AUCAAGACGAGGUAAAUUCUUACUGCAAAGGAAGGACUAUGAUGUCUGUAUGACGAAGAUUUAGUUCUCAGGUUAUGGCAAGUCGUGAUCAAGGGACUUUCAGUGAGAACAACCUUCACAGAAGAGUCAGAUUCAACUUGUUAGACGACAAACCAAAGACCAUGCUAAAUAACAAUUGGCAGAAACAGCUCCCAAAGAACAAACGAUUUUCUCGUCUAUCAUGGCUGCUCAGAUUCUACAGGCGAAGACCGCUGACUGCUCUAUUUGUGAGCACUGCCCUUUUGGCCGGCUCUGUCCCUUGCAUGUUAUUUCUUGGAUUCGUUUUCGUCACUUUUAUCGUUUCCUUUGUUGUAUUUGUAAUAGCCGAGUCCUCUUUGGUUGGCGCGGGGCUCUUUGCCCUAGUCGUAGUCCUCUCUGUGCCCUUGUGUUGCGCAGCAGCCUCAACUGCAUGUUUACUUGGCUGUUGGUGGGCUGUCAGUUACCUCCAGGAUUCCCUCUCCAAUAUGGUGGAGCCUGCUGAAACGAUGUUUCACUACUUGGUGGGUGUCUAUGUUCCUCGCAAGAUUAAGGAUUUAAUUUAUGCAUUCUAAAAGCUGUGAGAAAUGACUAAGAAGGACUGAGAUGAGUGUCAAGAUCACAGACAUUGCGCAAGAGAGAAUAAUCCUCCUUAGUUAAACCUAUUCGGAGAGACGUAAUGUGACAAGUCUACCGAAUUAGCAAUUAUUUUCAGUAGGGUGACUCGAUUGAUUCUUUGUGGACUAUAGUCUGUAACAAAAUGACGGCAAAUAAACAGGACGAGAACACCCUA